UCCUUGCUGUCUCAGAUCGUAAAGCAUCUGCCUGCAAUGCGGGAGACCCGGGUUCGAUCCCUGGGUAGGGAA
rnacentral:tRNA from 1 species